rnacentral:rRNA from 1 species
UACGGAGGGGGCUAGCGUUGUUCGGAAUUACUGGGCGUAAAGCGCACGUAGGCGGCUUUGCAAGUUAGAGGUGAAAGCCCGGGGCUCAACUCCGGAAUUGCCUUUAAAACUGCAUCGCUAGAAUUGUGGAGAGGUAAGUGGAAUUCCGAGUGUAGAGGUGAAAUUCGUAGAUAUUCGGAAAAACACCAGUGGCGAAGGCGACUUACUGGACACAUAUUGACGCUGAGGCGCGAAAGCGUGGGGAGCAAACAGG